CCUACGGGAGGCAGCAGUGGGGAAUCUUGCGCAAUGGGCGAAAGCCUGACGCAGCCAUGCCGCGUGGAUGAUGAAGGUCUUAGGAUUGUAAAAUCCUUUCACCGGUGAAGAUAAUGACUGUAGCCGGAGAAGAAGCCCCGGCUAACUUCGUGCCAGCAGCCGCGGUAAUACGAAGGGGGCUAGCGUUGCUCGGAAUUACUGGGCGUAAAGGGAGCGUAGGCGGACAUUUAAGUCAGAGGUGAAAUCCCGGAGCUUAACUUCGGAACUGCCUUUGAUACUGGGUGUCUUGAGUGUGAGAGAGGUAUGUGGAACUCCGAGUGUAGAGGUGAAAUUCGUAGAUAUUCGGAAGAACACCAGUGGCGAAGGCGACAUACUGGCUCAUUACUGACGCUGAGGCUCGAAAGCGUGGGGAGCAAACAGGAUUAGAUACCCUGGUAGUCCACGCCGUAAACGAUGAUUGCUAGUUGUCGGGAAGCUUGCUUCUCGGUGACGCNGCUACGCAUAGCAUCCGCCGUGGGAGGUACGGUCGCGAGAAGUUAAACGUUAAAGUAAGUUAGACGGUCGUUGAGACGUUGCCGACGGCGACGACGAGGGAGGAGG
rnacentral:rRNA from 1 species